rnacentral:rRNA from 1 species
UACGUAGGGGGCUAGCGUUGUCCGGAAUUAUUGGGCGUAAAGAGCUCGUAGGCGGCUGUUCAAGUCGAACGUGAAAACCGUCGGAGCCACAUCCGACGCCUGCGUUCGAUACUGGACGGCUAGAGUCUGGUAGGGGGAUCGUGGAAUUCCUGGUGUAGCGGUGGAAUGCGCAGAUAUCAGGAGGAACACCGGUGGCGAAGGCGGGAUCCUGGGCCGAUACUGACGCUGAGGAGCGAAAGCGUGGGGAGCGAACAGG